AGUGUAGGCGGUUUGGUAAGUCGGAUGUGAAAGCCCCGGGCUCAACCCGGGAAGUGCACUCGAUACUGCCAAGCUAGAGUAUCGGAGAGGUUGGUGGAAUUCUCGGUGUAGAGGUGAAAUUCGUAGAUAUCGAGAGGAACACCGGUGGCGAAGGCGGCCAACUGGACGAAUACUGACGCUGAGACUCGAAAGCGUGGGGAGCAAACAGGAUUAGAUACCCUGGUAGUCCACGCCGUAAACGAUGGGUGCUAGGUGUCGCGGGCUUUGACUCCUGCGGUGCCGUAGCUAACGCAUUAAGCACCCCGCCUGGGAAGUACGGCCGCAAGGCUAAA
rnacentral:rRNA from 1 species